CAAUGGGCGCAAGCCUGAUCCAAGCGACGCCGCGUGUAGGAUGAAGUCCUUCGGGGAUGUAAACUACUGUCAGGGACCACCCAAGUAAAUCGGGGCUAAUAUCCCCGUGCGCUGAGGAAUCCCAGAGGAAGUCACAGCUAACUUCGUGCCAGCAGCCGCGGUAAGACGAAGGUGGCGAGCGUUGUUCGGAAUCACUGGGCUUAAAGAGUAUGUAGGCGGAUGAUCAAGCGUUUUGUGAAAGCCCUCGGCUCAACCGAGGAAUCGCUUGGCGAACUGGUCAUCUUGAGGCAGGUAGGGGCAACUGGAACUCUUGGUGGACCGGUGGAAUGCGUAGAUAUCAAGAGGAACGCCAAAGGCGAAGGCAAGUUGCUGGGCCUGUCCUGACGCUGAGAUACGAAAGCCGGGGGAGCGAACGGGAUUAGAUACCCCGGUAGUCCUGGCCCUAAACGAUGUCCACUAGAUCGGAGAUUCUCUGACGGAUUUCUGGUCGAAAUGAAAACGAUAAGUGGACCGCCUGGGGAGUACGGCCGCAAGGCUAAAACUCAAAGGAAUUGACGGGGGCUCACACAAGCGGUGGAGCAUGUUGCUUAAUUCGAUGCAACGCGAAGAACCUUAUCCUGGGCUUGACAUGACCGGAUGCCCCCCUGGAAACAGGGUUCGGUUGCCCUUCGGGGUGAAACGGUCACAGGUGCUGCAUGGCUGUCGUCAGCUCGUGUCGUGAGAUGUUGGGUUAAGUCCCGUAACGAGCGAAACCCUUGUCGUUAGUUGCCAGCGGGUCAUGCCGGGGACUCUAACGAGACUGCCGGUGUCAAACCGGAGGAAGGUGGGGAUGACGUCAAGUCCUCAUGGCCUUUAUGCCCAGGGCUGCAAACGUGCUACAAUGGCCGGUACAAAGCGACGCAAGACCGCGAGGUGGAGCAAAUCGCAAAAAGCCGGCCUCAGUUCGGAUUGGAGUCUGUAACUCGACUCCAUGAAGUCGGAAUCGCUAGUAAUCGCGUAUCAGCUUGACGCGGUGAAUGAGUUCCUGAGCAUUGUACACACCGCCCGUCAAGUCAUGGAAGCCGGGAGUACCCGUAGUCG
rnacentral:rRNA from 1 species